UGGGGAAUAUUGGACAAUGGGGGCAACCCUGAUCCAGCCAUGCCGCGUGUGUGAAGAAGGCCUUAGGGUUGUAAAGCACUUUCAGUGGGGAGGAAAAGCUGGCGGCUAAUAUCCGUCGGCCCUGACGCUACCCACAGAAGAAGCACCGGCAAACUCCGUGCCAGCAGCCGCGGUAAUACGGAGGGUGCGAGCGUUAAUCGGAAUUACUGGGCGUAAAGCGCGCGUAGGCGGCUUGGUAAGCUAGAUGUGA
rnacentral:rRNA from 1 species